CUAGGAUUGUAGUCCCGAAGCUCUUGAAAGGGCGGGAGCGGUGAAGAGACUACAUACAGCUCCCAGCAUGCACAGCAAGGCCGGCACAACCGGACUUCGCCUUCAGGACUGCGCGCCGCCUCCUGUUCAUGCUGGCUGGGAUUGUAAUCCAUUCGCCCAGUGAUGAAAAAACUGGAAGCUAAUCAAAGACGACAACUCCCAGUUUUCCAGAUUAACUCGAAGUACCCCACGACUAAACGCUAAUGAAACUAGAGGAGGCACAGCUUCAGCUCCGUGCAGGAUGGAUGCACAAGAGCAGAAUCUCCAUGGGACGCCUUUCUGGAGCAUCAGUAUUACUGCAGGAUUUGGAAGAAACAAAUUCAAAUAAUUUCCAAAGGUCAAAGCAACCUAUAUGUCAUCAUACAAACUACAGGCUACGAUGAGCACCUCAUUUUCUUUCUGGAAGGCUGACCUUAAAUGUCCUGCACAUUCCUAUAGUGCAUAUUUACCCUUUUCCUAUACUAAGUAAGCCCUAAAUCUUGGCAGUAACAGCCUGGGGAACUACCUGUCUUGCUACCACUCAAGACCAUGCUUCUGUCCACAAAUUCCCCCCAAUAAAUUACCCUUUACUGACA
rnacentral:lncRNA from 1 species